GAUGAAGAACGCAGCGAAAUGCGAUAAGUAGUGUGAAUUGCAGAAUUCAGUGAAUCAUCGAAUCUUUGAACGCACAUUGCGCCCCUUGGUAUUCCAUGGGGCAUGCCUGUUCGAGCGUCAUUUGUACCUUCAAGCUCUGCUUGGUGUUGGGUGUUUGUCUCGCCUCUGCGUGUAGACUCGCCUCAAAACAAUUGGCAGCCGGCGUACUUGUUUCGGAGCGCAGCACAUUUUGCGAUCCAGAUCAACGUACAGCGGCAUCCAAGAAGCCUUAUUUAACGCUCUUGACCUCGGAUCAGGUAGGGAUACCCGCUGAACUUAAGCAUAUCAAUAAGCGGAGGA
rnacentral:misc_RNA from 1 species